rnacentral:rRNA from 1 species
UUUUGUACAAUAAGAGAUGAGGUGUAAAGGUAUCUCGUGUUCAGCAGUGGCACGGCCUAAUUAUUAUUGAGUCAGUGCUCAAAGAAGGUGAAAAGCCUGUAUGGUUGCGCCGAUCUGUUGAACCGUGAUACUGGAGAGUCUAGUUGUUUGAGAGUACAACUUAAAGUUGGUGGUAAAUUUCAUCAAAGGCUAAAUAUACGAAGGGACUAAUAGCGAACAAGUACCAUGAGGGAAAGUUGAAAAGAACUCUGACGAGAGAGUUCAACAGUACGUGAAACCACAUUGAGUAAAACAGAUAACUGUGUUGUUAUGUGGUGUGCCUAUCAACAGUCACUUCGGCGUUGCCACGUUUUGGGUGUAGGCUGUCUAUUCAGCUGAAUGCCUAAAACUAGCAUAGUCGGAGGUGCUGUGCACUAGUGCGCACUCGAUCAUUGAGAAGCUAUGCCGCUGCUGCAUCGGUAUGUGUCAGUCCGCACUUAGUGUGUAGUCACAUGCUGGGUAAUUGCUAGCCUUGGCGUAGUUUAGCUGUGUGACAGCUGUGGGUUGCGUUUGUCGAUUGUAGCUGCUGUAUCUGCGAACUGGUUUAUUCCUUUUUGCGGUGAGUAUGUUGCAGGACGCAAGCAGCCCGCCAUCAAUGGUUAACAUUAGUUAUUUGACCCGUCUUGAAACACGGACCAAGGAGUUCAAAUGGCACGCGAGUCAUUGGGUUUAAUCACCCGAAGGCGAAGUGAAAUGCAAACGUAUUGUUAUUUGUGGUUGUUCCAUGAUUAAGCGAUAAGCUACUUAUGCUUUCUGGCAUUUGUAGACUACAAGCGUGAUGUUUGAGACCCGAAAGAUGGUGACCUAUGCCUAGUCAAGAUGAAGCCAGAGGAAACUCUGGUGGAUGUCUGAAGUUGUUCUGACGUGCAAAUCGAUAAUCUGAUCUGGGUAUAGGGGCGAAAGACUAAUCGAACCAUCUAGUAGCUGGUUCCUUCCGAAGUUUCCCUCAGGAUAGCAAGCGUACAUUUUUAGUUUCAUCCCGUAAAGCGAAUGAUUAGAGGUAUUGGGGCGUAUAUAGCCUCAACCUAUUCUCAAACUUUUAAUGGGUGUGAGUGUUCUUUCUCAAUUGAAGAACGCUGUUAAAUAAGUAUGCUUAGUGGGCCAUUUUUGGUAAGCAGAACUGGCGCUGUGGGUUGAACCAAUUGUUGAGUUAAAGUGCCUAAAGCUGGAAUGCGCAUGAGAUCUAUAAAGGGUGUUAGUUGCUGAAGACAGCAGG